CGUGGACCCACCCCUUAGAAGUUACCCUAUUGCGUCACAAGUAUCGAACGUCCCGAUAACUGCACCAAACUGUAUAUGUAUACGUAUUUGUUCGUCUGUGUGCGAGUUCACGCGUCCACCUACGCGUUCGAAAACACGUACACGCCCACGUGAACACGACAAUUUAUUGGAAAAUUUUCCAACUGACGUGAUCAUUUUGUGAUUAAAUUUAUACAAUUUUUUUUCGAAAGUCAAGUAAUAUACACUUGGAAGUACGUUUGCGCAUAAAAAUAAAAGUUUGACGUAAGAAACUUAAAAGUAAUUGAUCAUGCUGUGACGUAUAGUAUAGAACGUCAUUGUCUCUACGUCUUUUAGUUAAUGAUGACGAUUCUAUGUAAACGUGGUGCGCUAUAAAUACCAUCGAUAGCCUUCGUUAUAAAACUAUCGACUUCCGAUUUGAAUUGGAACGUCUAGAGUUUUUCUUAUAGCAUCGAACGUGUUCUAGUCUUUUUAUAAUGCCUCUUCAUCACAAUCUACGAAUUAUUAUGACGAAAUUAAUGAGAGGAAUCGAUUGUGAUCAACUUUGAUAACGACAGCUUCUCCUCGUAUUGAACCGACUUGGUCGUCAAGUCUACUGGCGUUUCUGCCGAGGGCAACGCCCUCGCCAGCCCUCUCAUCCCCAUUCAGAAGAAACGUGGAAGAAAAAGAGGGAUGUUCCGAGUAAGAGAACGGGAAGGGAAGCUUUCGCAGGGGUGGAAAUUACAGACAAGUUAGCGAGUCGAUUCACUGUGCUCGAGGCAGUUCGUUCUACAGAUUGCUGAGUAGAUGUUGGAGACUGGAACGAAGUGGUUGAUGGUUUUAUAGUUGUUGAUCCUGUGACAACCGCUGAUUUCUCGGAUCUUUUCCGACGAUCUUCGUUCGUGUAGUAACGAGAGUAGGGCGAACUAUCCCAUAUCUGGGGUAUUUCGUAUCCCAGUUCAUUUAUUGUUCCAUAACUGAAACAGAAAUAAAGAUCACACUGCUUAACUUUAAUAUUAAAUUUUAAAGCGGUAGACGAAUACGAUGAGCUCGGAUUAUUCUCUGGUUGGUGAUUCUGUUGGUUGCCGAACAUCAACAUUUCCUGUGCCCGUUUAGCUGGAGUCAAAACGAAUAUCAUCAAUAAAUUUCUGCCGGUCGAUCUUCAGACGAUUUCUUCUUAUCUGGGAUGCGAUUCUCCCAGGAGGAUGAAGAGAACCAGCGGGUUCGGCUGAUCGAGGUAGAAUGAACGUUGGGGCUGAGCAGGACGGCUAGAAAACUGGCGAGAGGCGUCAGAGUUGUGCAGGAGGAAUUGUAGCACCGUUUUCCGUAUUCAGUCCCCGGCCACUUUUCUUCAACCCCCGCAACAGGCCAAACGCCCACGCCAUCGUAUAACGCCCACGACCACCCAACGCCCACGCAUAUGAGAAAGGGAGAGAAAGAGAGAGAGGAGAAAACGAACCAACCAAAGAAAGGAGGAGUAAAGUGAGAUGGCAGAAAAGAAUAAUUGCAGAGUUAGAUGAUAUAUAUAAAAUUUUGCGAGAGAAGCCGGAAAAUUCUCGGAAGUAACCACUCUUUAGCAAAGUGUUUACUUGAGAUACGACGCAUCCUAGCGCACUACGUGCUUCAGUAAUUGACCUAUUUCCAAAGAAUCGGCUGCACGCUUGCGCGAAUUAAAGUAGUUGUUGCACAAAACAAGCGCAACUCGCCUCGUUGGAGUUUUCAUAAAGUAACAAUGUUCGUAAAAUAUUAUGGAAACGUUUUAUGGUAACAGAUGCUCGAAAACGAUCUUAAUAAACACGAGGAGAUUUAUUCUAAUGCAAUUAUUUUAAUUGCAAUUAUUUAAUUAUUGUAUAUUAACGAUAAAAAAAAGAACAUUAAAAACAUUCAAUUGAGAGAAAUAAAAAGUUUUCAUUUUACUAUGCUCAAUAUGAAGCUUAUUUAACAUCUGAGAGAUAAGGAAAAAUAUUUUUGUAUUCGAUUGCAUUCCGAGAUGGAUUUCAUAAAAUAAAAGCAUGCAAUCAUUGUUAAUUUUUGCCGAAAUAUCGGGAGCAAUUAACGCCACACCCUCAACCACUGACAAAACAUAUAUUCUCUCUUUGAAUUUGAGAAUAUACUUGUUCAGAGACACGUGACUGUAUUUCCUCGAGAAGCAAAUGGGAAAAUUAAUUUUCGUAAAUUCACUAGAAGCUAUUCCGAAGAGGAUACAUCCGAACCCAGCCGUCGUUGUAAUUACGGGGGAGCAAAUUCUGUGAAAUAAUAUAAUUCGACGUGCUCGAUCCGAAGGUUGGUUCCCAUUGACGUCAGCCGUUGGUUCUGGAAACGACGAAUCCCCGUGCUUCGAAAACUUAGUGGGGGACAUACGCGUCGUGAGGAAAUGAUUCGUAGGAGGGGAGCAUGGAUAUUGUAUCCAGGGACGUUGCAUGAACAUCACAACUCCAGGAUCAAAAUAAUUUUUCGACAGAUAAUAGCUAAACAAUAAAAUCUUUUCAUAUCUAUUUUUAUCGGCGACU